AACGAACGCUGGCGGCGUGCCUAACACAUGCAAGUCGAACGGAGAUAAGGGGCUUGCUCCUUAUUUUAGUGGCGCACGGGUGAGUAACGCGUGGAUAAUCUGCCUGAUGCUCUGGGAUAACAUCUCGAAAGGGGUGCUAAUACCGGAUAAGCCCACGGGAUCUUCGGAUCUUGCGGGAAAAGGAGGGGACCUUCGGGCCUUCCGACAUCAGAUGAGUCCGCGUCCCAUUAGCUAGUUGGUGGUGUAAUGGACCACCAAGGCGACGAUGGGUAGCUGGUCUGAGAGGAUGAUCAGCCACACUGGAACUGAGACACGGUCCAGACUCCUACGGGAGGCAGCAGUGGGGAAUUUUGCGCAAUGGGGGAAACCCUGACGCAGCAACGCCGCGUGAGUGAUGAAGGCUUUCAGGUCGUAAAGCCCUGUCGAGGGGGAAGAACCGGCACUGACCUAACAAGUCAGUGCUCUGACGGUACCCCUAAAGGAAGCACCGGCUAACUCCGUGCCAGCAGCCGCCGUAAUAC
rnacentral:rRNA from 1 species